rnacentral:lncRNA from 1 species
CUUUUUUUUUUUUUUUUAAUUUAAAAUCAGGAUUUUAGACUUUUCCCCAUUCCUCCCCCAAACUCCAAAUUAGGUUUUAAUUAUUGCACACUACUUCAGUUUCUUUAAUUCCUCUUUGGCAGAUUUUUCUCAGCCCAUGGAAUCUGUGGAAUAUUAAUUUGGCAGACUGUUAGUGCUGUAUGGAAUGAACUCCUGGAGUACUUAAGUUUUAAUGCUUCACUUCCAACAUGGAAAACCAGAAAUUUCUUCAUCUCUGUUGGGUAGUUUGUUUACACAAAAUCUUUCUUGAAAAUUUAAAGCAGAUACUUGAAAUCAAGGUUCAAAGCACAUUGGUUUAUGACUCAAUACCUGUGUAUGGUUCCAGCAAUGGGUAACUGGUCUGAAAACCAGGUUUUUAAAAUUCUUGUAUCCCACCUUGCACUCCCCCUUUGGACCUUCAUUUCCUCUUCCUUCCCUUCAACAGAACAAGAUGCAUUUUUGGCAAAAAAAAAGAGUUUUUUAAGUACCUUUGCUUUUUGUUUGAGAGGAUACCCUGAGAUCGAGGGAAUUCCGUUGUUGCAGCUGGGAUGCCCUGAAAUAGAGGGAAUUCCUGCUGUUGGAGCUGGAAUUUCAUGAGAAUGGGGGAAAUUCCUGUCCUUGGAGCUGGGAUACCCUGAAACGCAGGGAAUUCAUGUCCUUGGAGCUGGGAUUACGUGAGAUUGGGGCAAUUCCUUUCCUUGGAGCUGGAAUUCCAUGAGUCUGGGGGAGCUGUUGGAGCUGGGAGUGGGGGGAAGGUGGCAGCUGUGGCUCUGGAAGCCCAGGUGGAUUCCAGGUGGGAUGUGGGGUUGCCACACAGGUGCAGCAGUACCUGAGGCAUUCCCAGCACUGCUCCAGGUGUUCCCAGGAGGGAGCUGGGCUGGCUCAGGAGGGAGUUGUGGCUCAUGGUUGGACACUGGGACAGUGGCAAUCUGUGCAUGGGACACCAAAAAUUCACCCCACAACCUCAACACUCCACCUCUCCAUCCAAAUGCAGCUCUGGCUCAGUGCAGUGCUCAUGAUCUGCCUGGGACAUCACCAAGGAAUGUUUUUUUCCAGGGAAUGAUUGUAAGAAAUUCCUUCUCCCCCCUCAAAAUCCCACCAUAGGUUCAAUUUCAUCCCCGUGUAUCCCUUCAAUACACAAAAGGAGCUGAGUGACUGGCUCAUAAAGAGGAAUUCCUAUAGGUUUUAUCAGCAUUUGUUAGGAGAGUAAGAACAAAUCUCUUAAUUUUAUUUCAAGCUUUCCUCUUUGGCCAGCUUAGAACAGAUUUGUAGUUCUGUACGUAGGUAGAAAACUAAAGGUAACACCCUAUUUUUAUAAAAACUGUACAGGACAGGCAGGAAGUGUUGGAGACCUUGGAGUAUGGAAUACCAGCCUGCUCAGCUGGGGUGUUAGCAGCUGCCUUUGCUUUUCCUGAGCUGUUUUCCACGAGAAUUCCAGUUGUGACCCACUGUGAGUAUCAUGGAUCAGUUCCCUCACCUGGAUUUCCAGCCCCGGGCAGGAGGAGGAGGCAGAUUUUCCAUCAGAGGGUGGGAAAAUCCCUUGGUUCUCCUCUCCUGAGUCUGCUCUCAGAGUGGGGCUGUUCCUUUUCCCUCUCCCACUGUCAGGUGGGAUGUGCUGCCCUUCCAGCCUUAGGGACAGCCUGGCUGACACACAAACAAGUGGAGCAAAGUUUCCCUGGAACUCAACCCUUCCUUCAUCCAAACUGCUGCUCCAGAUGCCACCCAGGUGAUUUUGCUGGCUGGAUUUUUCCCUUUUCCUGCUCUAGAGCAUUCCCAAAUGGCACCUAGAGUGAUUUUCAACACAGCUUGUAACUUAAAAUUGGUCCUUCUGCUGUUCUGCCAGAUGUAAAUUCACCUCUUUCAGUCCAUUUGUGUCAAGAACUAAAACUGUGAACAUUUAUCUUUAAUAUUGGUGGGUGUUAACUGAAAUAAAGGUUUAUUUUCAUGCUCUUUUAAAAACAAUGUCCUGAAAACCACGUGGAAAUGAAACCACUGAGGUUCACAGUGGCUCAUCUAGGGUCUGUCCCAGGAAGUCCAGCGUGCAUUCCCACUCUCAGGAUGGAUUUUGCAUCUCCCAAGUAGGUUAUUUAUGAUUAAUGAACUUGCUUUUAGUAACAUUUGCUAUCCUCUUGCUGUCACACCAAAUCUAGGGGAGUGCAACUUUUAAAUUCUGGUCCUUUGGAAAAGAGAGCAGAGAAAGUUGGAGGCGUGGAGCAGAUUGGCCUUGGAAUGAGCAAGGGCAAGGUUUGAGCAGGGGAGUUUUCUCAGAGCUGGAACGGUGAGGGGGAGCAGGGGGGAUUGAUUGAUCAGUUCCAAGAGUUAGCUGUGUGGGGAAGGACAUGGAUACUCCUGGAAUGUCAGGAAUCAGUGGGAAUGUGUGGUGGUAAUAGUUGGAGGAGCUGAGCCCACCCUCACCUGUAACUGUGCCCAUGGGGAUGGCUUUGCAAAGAGCUCUGGUUUAAUAAAGCCAGCACUGACAGCCAGCUGUGCCUCUUCCAGCUGUGCCUCUUCCAGCUGUGCCAGCCUGCUGAUUCCCAAAGUCAUUCCAAGGACCAAACUCCCUGCCUUGGGCACGCUGGGCUGCUCUGCCUCAGCCAGGUUCCAUGUUCAGGGUGUUCCCAGGACAGCCAAACCUGGUAUUCCUGCUGGAAAGGGUGUCCUGAGGGGGAAUCCCCUCCUGGGAUGCUCAGGGACACCACUGGGAGACUUCCAGGCUGGAGUCCUUGUCUCUUGGGGUAAGGCUGGACAAUGAAUCCCCACAUUUUGAUAGAUUUGGAGAUUUGUGGAGUGAGGACAAAAUGAAUUCCAGUGUUCUCUUAUCCUUAUGUUGAGCUAGAAGAUCAGCAUGCAGAAAAAGAUGAAUGGCAGAACAGUGCUUUUGUGAGAAAACCAUUUUUUGGCAUCUAAUCUGCCUUUCUGGAGGGGGCUGAGUUGUGGCCCCCAGGCAGGGUGUGGAGAGCAGGCAGCAAGUUCUGGUUUUUUGGAUGUCUGACCCAGUUCUGAGGGAGAUGUUUUCCUUUGAUGUCACCCAGCCAGGUGACACAGGUGGGACCAGACCUCAGAGGCCCAAAGUGCAGUGGCUGAGCUGAUAUUUGGCAAUAUCCAAAUCUGCACUUGAGUGGUGGCAGCAGCAGCUCGUGCCCCCGCUUGGGGAUGCAGAGGAUGCUCCAGGUAAGUCCAUACCUGGACUAUUCCAUCUCUAACUGCAAUGUUGCAGCUUUAUUUUUAAUAUUUAAUUGUUCUCUGUAAAGCUGGAACUUGACCAGAGAAAACAACAGGAAGCCAAGUUCAGAUUUCCAACAUUUUAUUUAUAUACACACAUCUGGUAAACAAAGUCAUUAAAUGUGUAACACCCUUGCAGCCUGUAAUUAGAACACUCCAAUAAAUCACUGAAAUUCCUCUUGACAA